AACAGGCUACAUAAAAAGCACUAGCGAAGUCAGUACAAACUAAAAUUUCAUUCAGACAAUGACUUGUGUAUACUACCCUAUGUACUAUACACUGAAAUGUAAGUACAAUAUUUAUAUUAAAAUUGAUGUAUUCUAUAAUUAUGUGCUAGAAAUGAGUCUGCAAUUGUUCAGUAAUAGUGAGCUGGGACACUUCUGUAUUUUAAUGUCCAAUUUUGUAAGUAAGCACUCUUUAAGGGAGGUGAAAAUUGGGGUACUCAAGACAAAUCAGACUCCUGAAAGGGGUGCAGUAGUCUGGAAUGGUUGAGAACAGCUGCUCUAGCUCAGGCUGGAGGUGACUGCAAAAUC